rnacentral:lncRNA from 1 species
CCGGCCACUGCGGUGGGGCCGGGAGCUGCAGCGUUCCCACAGGUGUCGGGGGAGAGGACACGGCUCUUCCAGCUGCACCAGACCUGUGGCAUAUUGCAGCAAUUUGAGGAACUGGUAGCCCCUGUGACAGAGCCCUACAGAAAUGUGACCAAAAAAAGGUAUCUCUGCCCUGAGCCAUUUCAAAUGGCUCUGCAAGUCAGGACCACUGAGGAGUCAAAUAUGCUGCACAGAACUUGAAGAUGGUGUUGGUCCAUACCCAGCAGGGAGAAUCUCAGUGUCCUGCAGCCACUACAAGAUGUCCAUCUCCAUGGUAAGU